UUUUAAAUGGCCGCAGUAUUUUGACUGUGCAAAGGUAGCAUAAUCAUUAGUUUUUUAAUUAAAAGCUUGUAUGAAAGGCUGGACGAGGUAAAAUCUGUCUCUAUUUAAAUUAUAGUAGAAUUUAACUUUUAAGUUAAAAGGCUUAAAUAUUAUUAAAAGACGAGAAGACCCUAUAGAUCUUUAUAAUUUGUUAAAUUAAAUUAAUUUAGAAAUAUUAAUGUUUUAUUUAAUUAAAUUAUUUUAUUGGGGUAAUAAAAAGAUUGAAUUAAUUCUUUUUUAAAAUAAACAUUAAUUUAUGAAUAUUAAUGAUCCAGUUUUACUGAUUAUAAGAUUAAGUUACCUUAGGGAUAACAGCGUAAUUUUUUUAGAGAGUUCAUAUCGAUAAAAAAGUUUGCGACCUCGAUGUUGGAUUAAAGAUUAUUUUAGGUGUAGAAGCUUAAUAAUUUUGGUCUGUUCGACCAUUAAAUCUUUACAUGAUCUGAGUUCAGACCGGCGUAAGCCAGGUCGGUUUCUAUCUUUAAUAAAAUAAAAUAUUUUAGUACGAAAGGACCAAAUAUUUGAUAUAUUUAUAUUUAAUUUAUUGAAUAUUA
rnacentral:rRNA from 1 species